UUAAGUUCAGCGGGUAUCCUUGUCUGAUCUGAGGUCAAAACUUCAAGUCUCCCUCAGAGGGGGAGGCGUUAAGGUUUAACGCCACAAAGCAGUUUACCAGCAGACUUUUUGGAAGAUUGUAACACCACUCCAUUGACCUGGCUAGAAGGUUGCUUGCGGUCGUGCAGCAAGUUUAGGGAGGGCGCAGGUGGAAAAGAAAU
rnacentral:misc_RNA from 1 species